rnacentral:rRNA from 1 species
UACCAGCACCCCCGAGUGGUCGGGACGAUUAUUGGGCCUAAAGCAUCCGUAGCCGGUCAUGCAAGUCUUCCGUUAAAUCCAGCCGCUCAACGGUUGGGCUGCGGAGGAUACUACGUGGCUAGGAGGCGGGAGAGGCAAGCGGUACUCCAGUGGGUAGGGGUAAAAUCCUUUGAUCCUUGAAGACCACCAGUGGCGAAGGCGCUUGCCAGAACGCGCU